GUAGGUGGCAAGCGUUGUCCGGAAUUAUUGGGCGUAAAGCGCGCGCAGGCGGUUCUUUAAGUCUGAUGUGAAAGCCCACGGCUCAACCGUGGAGGGUCAUUGGAAACUGGAGAACUUGAGUACAGAAGAGGAAAGCGGAAUUCCACGUGUAGCGGUGAAAUGCGUAGAGAUGUGGAGGAACACCAGUGGCGAAGGCGGCUUUCUGGUCUGUAACUGACGCUGAGGCGCGAAAGCGUGGGGAGCAAACAGGGAUCAGAUACCCUGGUAGUCCACGCCGUAAACGAUGAGUGCUAAGUGUUAGGGGGUUUCCGCCCCCCUUAGUGCUGCAGCUAACGCAUUAAGCACUCCGCCUGGGAGUACGGCCGAAAGGCUA
rnacentral:rRNA from 1 species